CUACGGGGUGCAGCAGUGGGGAAUAUUGCACAAUGGAGGAAACUCUGAUGCAGCAACGCCGCGUGGAGGAUGACACUUUUCGGAGCGUAAACUCCUUUUAUAUAGGAAGAAGAUGACGGUACUAUAUGAAUAAGCGCCGGCUAACUCCGUGCCAGCAGCCACGGUAAUACGGAGGGCGCAAGCGUUACUCGGAAUCACUGGGCGUAAAGAGCGUGUAGGCGGAUUAAAAAGUCAGAAGUGAAAUCCUAUAGCUUAACUAUAGAACUGCUUCUGAAACUCUUAAUCUAGAAUAUGGGAGAGGUAGAUGGAAUUUCUGGUGUAGGGGUAUAAUCCGUAGAGAUCAGAAGGAAUACCGAUUGCGAAGGCGAUCUACUAGAACAUUAUUGACGCUGAGACGCGAAAGCGUGGGGAGCAAACAGGAUUAAUACCCUUGUAGUC
rnacentral:rRNA from 1 species